rnacentral:tRNA from 1 species
GGGGAUUUAGCUCAGAGGUAGAGCGCUUGCCUAGCAAGUGCAAGGCCCUGGGUUCAGUCUCCA